GCGCCCGUGGCUCAAAGGAUAGAGCAUGUGUUUCCGGGGCACAGGGUUGGGGGUUCGAGUCCCUCCGGGCGUGCCA
rnacentral:tRNA from 1 species